UCUUGUUUAGUGUUCUGGGGCCGCAUGUGUUGUUCUGGGUCUUAUUUAUAAGUUGUCUGCCUCCAACACAAUCCCCCCCCGGACAUUCCUACUUUAUAGACAACAACCCUAAGAGCAAUAAAAUAGGUGGGGUGUGGGGCCAUCCUCUUUGAAAUGUUCAAACACAACCCCCCAGUUCAACGAGGUCCCUACACAUCAAUCAUCAUGACAACUUCAAAGAGAUGCAAUAUAGAUAUAACACACACUCUAACACGUGACAGAACAGGAUGCAACUAUAUGGCCCUAACCACGUGACACCUUCCCGCCAGGAUGUCCUGACCGGAUGCCCUUAUUUGGGCAUGUACGCGCCAUCCGGACAUAGGGUCAUAAAUCACGAUUUUGACCGAUGCCGUCUACUUUAUUCUCUCUGCCCUUGAGUGUCCCAGCCAGAGCCCGGACUUGAACCCAAUCAAACAUCUCUGGAAGGACCUGAAAAUAGGUGUGCAGCGACGCUCCCCAUCCAACCUGACAGAGCUUGAGAGGAUCUGCAAAGAAGAAUGGGAGAAACUCCCCAAAUGCAGACAGCCCUGCUGUCAAUCUACUGCUGCAGUCACAGGUGGUAUGACCUGAGGAGAUGGAUUGAGGUGAAGAUGUGACAUAGGUCAUGGCUGGGCAGACAGCUUAGGAGGUUCUUCAACGCCAGAGACAUCCUGGACCCAGGCCUCAUCGCGGAUUUCCAACGCCAACACCCCGGUCAACCAGGUCGUCUUGUUCAUCAAGUCAACCAGCGUUUUUUUUUCUCAGCUCCUGCUUUCCCCAGUCUCUCUUUUCCUUGCCCUCCUGGUUUUGACCCUUGCCUGUCCUGUUUCUGAGCCCGUCUGCCUGACCACUCUGCCUGCCCCUGAGCCUGCCUGCCAUCCUGUAACUUUGCCCCAUCUCUGGAUUACCUACUUCUGUCUGACCCUGAGCUGGUCUGCCAUCCUGUACCUUUGUACCUACCUUCAAACCUGAUACCAAGAGCAUUGAGCAUGACUAAAACAGAAGAACCAUAUCUCCACCUUAAAACAAUCCUUGCAGCUUGUUUCUGUUCAAUCUGCAGCCUCCUAAUUUCACUUGCUGAUGCAUUUCCCCAGAACACAGAACAAUAGUUCACCUGACUCCCAAUUAAUGCUUGGGUUGUUCUCUUAAGAAUCUUUCCCGGUAAAUAUUUAGCUAUCCUUCUGAUCAUGCAUGCAUGUAAUAUAUAUAUAUUUUUACAUAGAUUAGUUAUUUGAGACACUGCACCCCUAGUAGUUUGGUUUCUGCUACUUCCUCAAUUUUUACUCCCCUCGUACUUAAUUGUAUCCCAUGCUGUGUUGACCUUUUCCUGGUAGAACAGACGAACAUAACCUUGGUUUUCUUGGUGUUCAAAACAGGUUUGUUCCGG
rnacentral:lncRNA from 1 species